AGGAGCCCAAGGUGGGCAUCAAGACCAUCAAGGUGUACUGCCAGCGCAUGCAGGAGGAGAACAUCACACGGGCGCUGAUCGUGGUGCAGCAGGGCAUGACACCCUCCGCCAAGCAGUCCCUGGUAGACAUGGCCCCUAAGUACGUGCUAGAACAGUUUCUACAGCAGGAGCUGCUCAUCAAUAUCACAGAACAUGAGCUAGUCCCUGAGCACGUGGUCAUGACCAAGGAGGAGGUGACGGAACUGCUGGCGCGAUACAAGCUCCGUGAGAGCCAGCUGCCCAGGAUCCAGGCUGGGGACCCGGUGGCACGGUACUUCGGGAUCAAGCGAGGGCAGGUUGUGAAGAUUAUCCGCCCCAGUGAGACAGCCGGCCGGUACAUCACCUACCGCCUGGUGCAGUAGCUGCAGGGGAAAUCUAGUACUCUGGAGACUGAAGCAGGAGGAUUGCUGCAAUUGAAGCUCACCAGCAACCUCACAGAGGACCAGGCCAGAGCCGCUGCUCCCAUGAGCCCCAGCGUGUGGGUCAUGGCUUUCAUCCUGCAGGAUGAGCAACUUCAGAGCUUCAGCCCCACCCCCACUCCUCGCCCUGAGGUCACUGCUCUGUUAAGAGUUCUCCAUGACUCCCCGGAGAAUUAAAAGCUACUUUGGGAUAAGUU
rnacentral:lncRNA from 1 species